rnacentral:rRNA from 1 species
UAGGGAAUCUUCCGCAAUGGGCGAAAGCCUGACGGAGCAACGCCGCGUGAGUGAUGAAGGUCUUCGGAUCGUAAAACUCUGUUAUUAGGGAAGAACAAAUGUGUAAGUAACUAUGCACGUCUUGACGGUACCUAAUCAGAAAGCCACGGCUAACUACGUGCCAGCCGCCGCGGUAAUACGUAGGUGGCAAGCGUUAUCCGGAAUUAUUGGGCGUAAAGCGCGCGUAGGCGGUUUUUUAAGUCUGAUGUGAAAGCCCACGGCUCAACCGUGGGGGGUCAUUGGAAACGGGAAAACUUGAGUGCAGAAGAGGAAAGUGGAAUUCCAUGAGUAGCGGUGAAAAGCGCAGAGAUAUUGAGGAACACCAGUGGCGAAGGAGACGUUCUGGUCUGUAACUGACGCUGAUGUGCGAAAGCGUGGGGAUCAAACAGG